rnacentral:lncRNA from 7 species
CAUGACAAAGCAUUUAUUUAAUAAAGUUAUGCAUUCAGUUAGCUUGUGCCUGACCCUCGUAGAGCGUCUGCGUGCCAGCCCUGCCGUCAGCACGCUGUGCAUGGGGGCUCAGCCAGCCCUAUAGGUCCGACAGGGCAGGGUGACCUCGUGGCAAUGGCUUAGGCAAGCUCUGGACCCCAGAGAACUCUGCUAAGACAGUGGUAAAUUUGAAAGGUUGAGCUUAGAGCAUCCCUACUGCUGAGCUGUAACUUUUUAGCUGUUUAUUUGCAAGGGUGGGGUUGCAGCACCCAUGUUCUGCUGGGUCAUGAAGAGAGAGAACUGUAGAGUCACAGAAUCAUUACGGUUGGAAAGACUACUAAGAUCGUCUUGUCCAACCAUCAGCCCAUGCCUGUGACCGCUCUAGACCAUGCCUCUUGGUGCUACAUCUACCAUUUUCUUGAAUGCCUCCAAGGAUCUGGUGCCCAUGAUGCUGAGCACCAAGCUGCUGCCCCAAAUCCAUCUCAACGCUUCAGGAUGUAGUAUCUGAGCCUCAAAGCUCUCCAGGCAGUGGGAGGUCCUGCCUAACAUCUCGGUGAGCAGGAAUGUCCCAUGCCCCCAUCCCCACCACCUGCCUCAGCUGCCAGCAUCGUUCAAUGUGCCCACAGCAGCACAGGAGACAAAAAAAAAAGUCCCCUUUAUCCCCACGUGAGUGGC